AUUCGCUUCAGGUGCAACCAAUGAAUGAUUAUUUACAGUUCGGCGAUAAAUAUGGAGAUGAGCGUACAACGGGAAGUUAGAACAGAACCAUAAUUCAAUUACAUGAAACCUGGAUAUACCUUUUAAAUACGGAUCCAGAAUGGAUUGCGUAAUAAAGUGGCGUGAAAUAAUAUCAGUACUGGGCUCAUGUUCAUUUGUUUUGAGUCUAUGACCCUCCCCACGCCCAAAGAUCGAGCGUUUAUCUGUGUGAAGUUACGCUGACACCAGAGUAAAUAACGCGCAUCGCGAAACUGCCCAUUUACGACGUGACAGAACAGAGCACGAUCGACCCCCCCGGGUGUAAGCAGCGCGCGUCCCCGCAAAGCCUUCACUCCAGACCUUACUAUGCAAUUAAGCAGGUUUCUUCUCGACUUUCGGCGGUAUUUUCAGUUGGACUAGAGGAGACCAUGAAUCGGCAUCCCUGGUGAAGACUCUACGCAUCCUGCAACCCUGUGAGGACCGGAGAAGGGAAAGUGGGCUGUCCAAGGAAGGUUCAACACCAUAAUGCAUAUGUACCCCCCCCCCCCAAUCUUGAUGCCUUUGGUGGAACGUGAGUGAGAAGAGCAGACCGGACACAUUUCGGAUAGCGUCUGGAGAAAAAAACUGCGAAGAACAGCCGCUCAGACAGCGGAGAUCCGCUGCGAUACCUGAAGCCAGACCUCACGCUGUGUGUGGAGCUGUCAGUGUGUAUGGGGGCCUCCGUCAUCCUAUCAGUUUCACACCUUGUCCUUCCAUGCAGACAGACCUUCUUACAGGGAAUAGGGAGAAAAAAUUAUAAAUCUGUGGCAGCCCAUGGGCCAAGCCAUCUAAGGGUGCCUAAACCAGAUGUUGAAUCUUUAUAUUCGAUAUUUUUUGGCUUUUUUUUCCAACUUUCAUGGUAAUCUGUAUUACAAAUUAGAGCAAUAUGAAUUAAAAAAUAAAAUCAAUUAAUCAGUUAAA